rnacentral:rRNA from 1 species
UACGAAGGGUGCAAACGUUGCUCGGAAUUAUUGGGCGUAAAGCGCACGUAGGCGGCUUUGCAAGUCGGAUGUGAAAUCCCUCGGCUUAACCAAGGAAGUGCAUCCGAAACUGCAGAGCUUGAGUACUUAAGAGGAUCGCGGAAUUCCCGGUGUAGAGGUGAAAUUCGUAGAUAUCGGGAGGAACACCAGUGGCGAAGGCGGUUGCCUGGGGCUUUGCUGACGCUGAUGCGCGAAAGCGUGGGGAGCGAACAGG